UCACAUCAGGUUGAAACACUGGUUUCUAUAUGAUCACCGAAGUUAAGCAACGUCGAGCCUGGUCAUUACCUAGAUGGGUGACCGCUUAGGAAUAUCAGGUGCCGUAAG